UUUUGCUUAUUUUAUUUUUUGUGUUUUUCACAUCGAUAAUUCGCCGACCGGAGGGGAAGAAGAAGAAGAAAAAAUAACAAAACGGAAGAGCUGGGGGUGUGGGGAUAAUAUAAAAUGUACGGUAUAUUAUUGCAUUGCAAUUAUGGAUAUUUUGUUGCGAGUGGAAAAAGGUGAAUAAGUGGAAUAUGUUACUUGUUUUGUUUUUCGCUUCACCCAUUUUCUCGGCUGUCGGACCCUCCUGUACAUUGGUAGGAGCUGCUGGGUGGUUGUUGUUUUGUGUGUGUGUGUGUUGGACGUGCUGAUGUAUGUAGGGCAGGAUGUAUUCAAUUUGCGCGCCGUUUCCACACGGCAAGAUUUAUUCCUCCACAUAAAAGUCAGAUGGUAACCCACACAGACGACCACGGGGGUUUGGAGUUUGGAGGUCCGUUUGAGGUUUCGACAGCGAAAAAAAAAUUUUUGUUUCAAAUUGAAAAAUAGGAAGGAAAAAAAAAAAGGUUUUCAAAAGUGGGCCGCCACCGCUGAUCCUUGGCUGUAAAUUUUCUUUUAUUUAUUUUUUUCUUUUAGACUGUUGUUAUACUUUUGGUUAAUAUUCCCGUGUAAUAUUAUCUGAGCGUGUUGGGCUCCCAUCACGUAUAGUCGGUGCAGGGGUAUGUGUUAUGCUCGUCAGUCAGUCAAAUUAUGAGGUGCGUCCGUGUGUGAUUAUAGCGGCUUCUUCAUAUUGUGUAUGGAUGCGCGGUUACAUCAGCGACCAGCCAGCUCUGAACCGAAAGAAAACUUUGCAUUUGAUUAUUAGCUCUAUGAUUAUGUUUCGUCAGAACAAAAAAUAUAUAGAUUCAUCGGUUUUGAUGUGUAACAAAUCGACUUAUCCCUACAGGUAUAAGGUAUAUGUAGCCUGUGUACUACGUGUGUACUAUAUUCACCGAGAAAUGCCGCUAGCUUCCGACAGCACAGUUUCCAUCUCUUUAGAACAUUUUCUUUUUUGGGAAAUAUCUCUGGGUUAUAUUACAUAUAGAGCUGAGGAAUUUGUUGAUAGGGGAUACCAAAAAAUGUAAAGAGGUUAUGAUAGUAACGUAAUAACACUCUACCGCUGCUGCUACUGCUACUAGCUACUAUUCAUUUGUCUAGCCUUAAAUCGUAGUACUGUACUCUCAACUAUUAUUCCGACUUUUUUUCUUUUCUCUCUUCUUGUCCUUUUCCUCUUUAACGGCCCGAGAAAAAGAAGAAGAAGAAGAAGAAGAAGGUUAGGUUGGAAGAGCAGGUGGUAGAGGGAGGAGAAAAGGAAUGCGGGAUCAGGUGCCAAAAUGACAGACCCGGGGCCGGGGGUAUAAGCGCCAUCCAGUUGAACUGUUUUGGGGCUGGACCUGCCGUAUGUAUGUGCACAAGUGGAAGAAGGCGCCGGUUUGAAAUAAGAAAAUAAGAAGAACAAGUCCAGGUAGUGAUCUUAGUGUGUAUAGUCAAGAUGGGGUGGAGAGGAGAAGGUGAAUAAGAGGGAAAAUGUGAUGGGGGGGAAUGAAUAGAGAGAGGUGGAACAAGUGGGAAGAAUCUUAUUCGGAGAAAAGAAGAAUCUUCCGAAGAGAGAGAGGGGAGAAAAAAAUUCGAAAAUGUAGGUGCAGGUUGUUGCUCCAGGCGGAGACCUUCACCUAGACCCAAGGAACGCCAUCACGUCAGCACGUUGCAUGUUGACCUACAUUUCUGAUUCCUUCUUCUUUUUCUUCUUGUUUUAGAUCUUUUCCCCCCGCCAAGAAAAGAAAAACCAACGAGCGUGCGAUGAGAGAGCGCGCGCGCGCUAGCCGGCCCUAUACAACCCGCGACUCGGUCCGUCGCGUUUUGUCAGCAGACCCCGCGCGCUAUAUCCCCACCACCCAGCCACACACACACACACAGGUGUGUUUGCCAAUCAAAUGGCUACAUCUUUCCCAGAAAAAAACAGGAAGAAGAAGAAGAAGAAGAAGAAAAAAAAAGUGUUUUAUGACUUGUGUGUGUUGUGCCCUGCCCACCCAUUUGAGGAAUGGACAAAACGGACAGACAGACAGUGCCAGACAAGUGUGUGUAACGUCUGGCCGCCGCCGCCCUAUUGGACUCAAUAAUAAGGUUUUUGGUUCUAUUUAUUUCUCUCUGUUUCAACGAUGAAAGUGAAAUAAUAAUAAAAAAUAUGGCCAAAUUCGAAAUGUUUCCCCAAAAACAAAUGAAAUUCCCACCGAGUUCGCCGACCGCCAUGUCUUCUGGUUGUCGUAAUCAUGUAUAACCGGCGGCCGCAAAAGAGUUGCGACCGGGUCAACACUUUGCGGAAAACGUCACUCUCUCAUCCGGGAUGGAGAAAUACAAUCCGCAAUGACCUCUGGUCUCUCUCAGCUCACAUCACCUACGCUGUUUGUGUGUGCAAACGAUUUGAAAAAUAAAAGGAGGGAAAAACCCAUAUAACAUCUUAUAUUAUAUCCUAUUGCGGCUCUCUUAUAAACACGGCACGAUUCUCUCAGAUAUUUGACCCGGAGAAACCAAACAAACACGCAACGCACACGGGAUUGUUAUUGCGUCUAACGUAAUCAUCAAUGGCGGGGUUGAAAAAGGUGAUAACGAGUUUAACGCGCCGCCGAUGGAUCGCUCGCUCUACCACCGCGCAUAGAGUCCUAAAUUAUCAUUUGCCCCCCCUUCGGAAAGUGGGGUUUUUUCUUCUCUUUUGCAUCAUGCUAAUUACACCGGGAGGGGAGUUAUAUAAUUAGAGAAAAAAAAAGGACCAACCCCGAAAUGAGAGUGAGGAGGAGUUCAGGGUUGUGUGGUGUGUCGGCGCCGCGGCGUCUACAACUCAAUUAGUUGGUAGCAGCUCAUUCUCCAAACGCUGUGUGUUAGAUACGAAGGUUAAAUAGGAGUUUCACUGGGGGGUUGUUCUUCCAGGUCAAAUAUCCCCCCCCCCCCCAAAAGAAGAAGAAGAAGAUGUGGAUGGGGGUUGGCAGCUAGUGAAAAUGGAAUUUUUGAUAUGUGUCUUAACUUCUUCUUCUAGCGGGGGGAAAUAUCAUUAAGAGAAAACAAUUUUUCAAAAGACUUUGGACGGGGGGGGGGAAAUGGGUUCUCUAGUUAUUUGGAGAGCCAUCACGACACGGGGCACAGACUGGGAGAGAAAAGAAUGUCAGAUUCUCUCUCUCUCUCUAUCAAUACGCAGAGAUGAUGCGCUUCUUCUUUGAGAGAAAAAGAAUUAAGAAGACCCGUUUUUUAUUUAUUUUAUUUUUUUCGAUUUUUGAAUGGGAACAAAACCCCGGGAGCCAUUGGGACGACGCGCUCGCAACUGGGCGGCUGACCUCUUUCCUUAAUAGACACACAGCACAGCACACAGCAGCAGCGGAGAGUUCCUUUUUGAUUCUCCAGCCCCAACAACAACAAAUCUUCUUUUUUAAUAUUCUUCCACAUCACCUGAUACAAUGUUAAACGUACUAUGGAAUUUCGACCCCAAAAAUGGAUCGUAGCGUGAAAUGGGUAAUAAUAGGCUACGACGUUAUUACAAGUUUUCUUCCAGAAACCGGUCCGUCGUCGCUGCUACGUCAAAAAACUACACACAUACACGAAGGCCGCGCUGUAGACAACAAAUCGGGUUACGACCCGAUAUGGCCAGCCGUUUGAUUUAAAUCUAAGAAACAAGACGCUCGACAACUGUGUCACCCACCAUCAUCCCGUUUGCAACUUAUUUUGAUGUCAUUCGACACGAAAUUUGCACUUUCGAAAUUCCUUUUCCUGUUUGAAAACAAACAAACAAAAAUGUCGAUUUUACAUAAUGCGUGUUAGCGUUUUUCUCUAAUAAAACACAAGUCUUUUUCGA